GAUUUCGAGGGUUGUUGAAAAUGCCAUGAACAAAAUUUGUAAUCAGGGGGUCCCGGGUUCGAACCCUGGCGGGGGCACCA
rnacentral:tRNA from 3 species